GAGUUUGAUCAUGGCUCAGGACGAACGCUGGCGGCGUGGAUUAGGCAUGCAAGUCGCGCGACGGACUUCGGUUACGGAGCGGCGAACGGGUGAGUAACACGUGAGGUAUCUACCCCUUUGUUCCGGAUAAUUGGCCGAAAGGCCUUGUAAUACGGGGGAGGUUCGCGGAGAGGCAUCUUUCUGCGAACGAACGAGCAAUCGGCACAGGGAUGAUCUCGCGGCCUAUCAGGUAGUUGGUGAGGUAAUGGCUCACCAAGCCUUCGACGGGUAGCUGGUCUGAGAGGAUGGUCAGCCACAUUGGAACUGAGACACUGUCCAGACUCCUACGGGAGGCUGCAGUCGAGAAUCUUGGGCAAUGCACGAAAGUGUGACCCAGCGACGCCGCGUGAAGGAUGAAGGCCCUCCGGGUCGUAAACUUCUUUUACGGGAGAAGAAUCAAUGACGGUACCCCGUGAAUAAGCCACGGCUAACUACGUGCCAGCAGCCGCCGU
rnacentral:rRNA from 1 species